UACGUAGGGUGCGAGCGUUAAUCGGAAUUACUGGGCGUAAAGCGUGCGCAGGCGGCGCGUUAAGACAGGUGUGAAAGCCCCGAGCUUAACUUGGGAAUUGCGCUUGUGACUGGCGUGCUGGAGUGUGGCAGAGGGAGGUGGAAUUCCACGUGUAGCAGUGAAAUGCGUAGAGAUGUGGAGGAACACCGAUGGCGAAGGCAGCCUCCU
rnacentral:rRNA from 1 species